CUCUUUUACUUGUUUCAAUAUUUUAGACAAUGGAUUUCUUUCAAGAAGGAGCUCAAUAUGUAAACUAUAAGAUAAGAAUUCAUAGAGAAUAAUUUCUGACAUAUUUCACCAUGAUAAUAAUGCCUAUCAAUGAAUACUUAUUGGUGGACUAUAAGUUAAGAUUUGAAAGAGAUGAAAUUCUCAGGUGUUCACAUUUAAUCCUUCCAAACUGUUUUGAACUGCUCAAGCAUUAUCUUCUUGUGUUGAGAUUUCAAUGAUGUGCUUGUUUACUUUUUUAGUAUAUCAUUGUAGGGUAGGUGUGAGAGACUGAAUA